CUCAUAUGAUGAUCGGUUUUGUCCAGUUCUGCUACCGAAAGAACAAUGUGGAUACUUACAACCAGCUUACCAAAAUGACUGACAU
rfam:Dothistroma septosporum NZE10 unplaced genomic scaffold DOTSEscaffold_9, whole genome shotgun sequence.